rnacentral:rRNA from 1 species
GGGUCAGUGGGUUGGUCGUGCCACCGGUACGUACUGGUCUCACUGAUUCCUCCUUCCUGAAGAACCGUAAUGCCAUUAAUUUGGUGUUGCGGGGGAACAGGACUGUUACUUUGAAAAAAUUAGAGUGUUUAAAGCAAGCUAACGCUUGAAUACAUUAGCAUGGAAUAAUGAAAUAGGACGAUCGAUCCUAUUUUGUUGGUUUCUAGGAUUGACGUA